rfam:Raoultella ornithinolytica strain S12, complete genome.
UUCGGUACGACAUUGCUCACAUUGCUUCCAGUAUUUUUCGCCCGCAUUCGUUGCGGGCUUUUUUU